UCGUGUACGCGGCUUGCUAAUUCCGCUGUGAAACUCCCCGGCUCAACCCUGGAAAGCCGGUGGAAACUGUCAAGCUAGAAUGCGGAAGAGGCGAGUGGAAUUCCUGGUGUAGCGGUGAAAUGCUCUGAUCUCUUGAGGAACACCAAUGGCGAAGGCAGCUCGCUGGAACGGUACUGACGCUGAGACACGAAAGCUUGGGGAGCAAACCGGAUUAGAUACCCUGGUAGUCCCCGCCGUAAACGAUGGGCACUAGGUGUGGGGGGUGUCUACUCCCUCCCUGCCGACGCUAGCACAUUAUUUGCCCCGCCUGGUGAGUACGGCCGCCAGGCUAAUACUCCUAGGAAUUGAUGGGGGCCCACACCCACAGCGGAUCAUGUGGUUUAAUUCGAUGCAACGCAAACAACCUUACCUGGGCUUGACAUGUUCCUGACAGCCGUGGAAACACGGUCUCCCUUCGAGGCACGAUCACAGAGUGGUGCAUGGCUGUCCUCCUCUCGUGUCGUGAUAUGUUGGGUUAACUCCCACCACGAGCGCUCCCUCCCUCUCAUGUU
rnacentral:rRNA from 1 species